GAUUAUGGCUCAGGAUGAACGCUAGCGACAGGCUUAACACAUGCAAGUCGAGGGGCAGCACGGGAGUAGCAAUACAACUGGUGGCGACCGGCGCACGGGUGAGUAACGCGUAUGCAACCUACCUAUCAGGAGGGGAAUAACCCGGCGAAAGUCGGACUAAUACCGCAUAAAACAGGGGCACCGCAUGGUGAUAUUUGUUAAAGAAAUUCGCUGAUAGAUGGGCAUGCGUUCCAUUAGGUAGUUGGUGAGGUAACGGCUCACCAAGCCGACGAUGGAUAGGGGAACUGAGAGGUUGGUCCCCCACACUGGUACUGAGACACGGACCAGACUCCUACGGGAGGCAGCAGUGAGGAAUAUUGGUCAAUGGGCGAGAGCCUGAACCAGCCAAGUCCGCGUGAAGGAAGAAGGAUCUAUGGUUCGUAAACUUCUUUUGCAGGGGAAUAAAGUGCGGGACGUGUCCUGUUUUGUAUGUACCCUGAGAAUAAGGAUCGGCUAACUCCGUGCCAGCCGCCGC
rnacentral:rRNA from 1 species